ensembl:lincRNA
UGGCAAUUCCCCAAGGGCACCCUAACACAUUGUGUUGCAACUGCCCGUUCACUGGUGUGAGAGAGGAAGGUCAAAAUGUACGUGCCUAGACUCAGGUGCAAAAAAAUCAUCAAGUGAAACUUUUUCUGUAAAGGACCUCAUGUUAUUUUAAAAUUCUCAUGUCACCUACAAAUGGGUGGAAGAAAACCCUUGAAAUUGCUAUCCCGUGUAUCACUUUUAAUUUAAAAAAUCUUGAAAAUAUUUAGUCAAUUCAAAGCUCCAUCUCCCUUCAGAGCUGCCUCUGGUCUCUCAGGGUUCUUCUCUUCAGGAUCUCCUUCUCUCCCAGAAGGCAUCUGAGCCUAGGAGCACUUUGUGGUUGUAGCAAAAGGGGUCUCUGCUCUGAAUCCUGCCUCUUCUGGGCAUCCUUUGUUGUCCCUUGAGGUGUGGCUGGUGCCUUCUGCAUGGUUUGAGCCUUGUGCCGGGGCUCAGUGCUGACUGUGCCCACUCAAUGCCCUUUGUGAGGUUUCUGCUCUCUGUGGCCUUCUUGUCCCAACCUCAGGCCUCCACAUGUGACUUCUGCACCUCAUCUCUGGGAUGGUUUCAGUGGGUCCUAGAUUGCUUUCUGUGCUCCCUGGGACAGUUGGUGGCACUCUGUGAGCCUACUCUCAGACCAGUCCUUUCCAUCAUGGGCUCCUGUGGAAAAUGA